rnacentral:rRNA from 1 species
UGGCAGAAAUCCCAUGGUAACACCAGCAUGGCCUUGCAAUGCUUUGUUUUAAUUAAACAGUCGGAUUCCCUUUGCCCGUUGCAGUUCUAGUUUGCUGCAUGCUGUGGGCGUCGAAACCAGCAAAAAAACUCUCACCGGCCUAGAAACAGCCUAGGUUGCCCCAUUCCGCGUCCAAGCCAGCAAAAGAACCCCCACAUAGAAUCAACCACUCCCACGCAGCACUAGAGCCAACCCUUUUCCCAAAGUUACGGGUCUAAUUUGCCGACUUCCCUUACCUGCAUUGUUCAUAUCGGACAGAGGCUGUUCACCUUGGGGACCUGAUGCGGUUAUCGGUACGUUACGGCGUGGAAUUUUCACACCAAACACAAAAAGGUUUGGCCAGCAGACGAUUUUUCAAGGGCCGUCGAUGGAGACUUGGACGCCGGAAAAUCCCGGCGCUCUGCCCAAAAACGCGUAUUUCUCCCGACAAGCGGAUUCCAUACUGCGCUAGGAACGGUUAAACAGAAAAGAAAACUCUGCCCAAGUCCAUCGCCAACGUCAUCGUCUCAGAAGUGCGUCACCGCAUCCACAUCCGUGUGCAGAAAUAUCAAUCUGCUUCCCUUUCGCUCGAUAAUUAGCUAUUGCCACUCGGCUUAGGAACGACUUACCCACACCCAAUCAAUGUUCGCGUGGAACCCUUCCCCGCUUCGCCCUUCAAGGUUCUCGUUUGAAUAUUUGCUACUACCACCAAGAUCUGCACUAGCGGCCGUUCCACGCAUGUUCGCACAUACGCUUCGAUACGACCGCCACGUCCUCCUACUCAUCUGAUAUACCCACUUUGUAUAGACGGAAUGGUGUCGGCUACCCGCUUAAGCGCCAUCCAUUUUCAGGGCUAAUUCAUUCGGCAGGUGAGUUUUUACACACUCCUUAGCGGAUUCCGACUUCCAUGGCCACCGUCCUGCUGUCUCGAUGAAUCAACACCUUUUUUGGGAUCUGUAAGCGGACAAUUUGGCGCCUUAACCAUUCUUACGGUUCAUCCCGUAUCGCCAGUUCUGCUUACCAAAAGUGGCCCACAAGGCCGACGUUUUUGACGAUGCCGCUCACCCAAGCAGCAACAUCCGUGCGCAUUUAAAGUUUGAGAAUCGACUGAAGUAAAAAUUACCCCAAAUACGCUAAUCAUUCGCUUUACCGCACACAACAACACUCGUCGGCCUGCUAUCCUGAGAGAAACUUCGGAGGAAACCAGCUACUAGAUGGUUCGAUUAGUCUUUCGCCCCUAUACCCGAGUUAGACGAGCGAUUUGCACGUCAGCACCGCUACGAGCCUCCACCAGAGUUUCCUCUGGCUUCGCCCUACUCAAGCAUAGUUCACC